UUAUUUUAAAUGUGRAUUUUUUAGCCAAGAUUACUAUUAGUUAUGAUCUUUAAAUUUAAAAAAUUUGGCGGUAUUUUAGUCUAUUCAGAGGAACUUGUUUCUUAAUCGAUAAUCCACGAUGAUUUUUACUUUUACUUUAAAUUUAUAUAUCGUUGUUUAUAAAAAUUUUAGGAGAAUAUGAAUUUUUGUAAUUUUUAAUUUGACAAUAAUUCAGAUCAAGGUGUAGUUGAUGUU
rnacentral:rRNA from 1 species